rnacentral:rRNA from 1 species
CGGCACGGGUGAGUAACACGUAUGCAACCUGCCUGCCACAGCCGGAUAAUCGGGAGAAAUUCCGUCUAAUACGGCAUAAUGCAUCGACGGGACAUCCUGUUGGUGCCAAAGGUUAAUUCCGGUGGCGGAUGGGCAUGCGUCGCAUUAGUUAGUUGGCGGGUGUAACGGACCACCAAGACGACGAUGGAUAGGGGUUCUGAGAGGAAGGUCCCCCACAUUGGAACUGAGACGCGGUCCAAACUCCUACGGAAGGCAGCAG